UACGUAGGGGGCGAGCGUUGUCCGGAAUUACUGGGCGUAAAGGGCGUGUAGGCGGUUAUUUAAGUCAGGUGUGAAAGACCGGGGCUCAACCCCGGGGAUGCACCUGAAACUGGAUAACUUGAGGGCAAGAGAGGGAAGCGGAAUUCCUAGUGUAGCGGUGAAAUGCGUAGAUAUUAGGAGGAACACCAGUGGCGAAGGCGGCUUCCUGGCUUGGCCCUGACGCUGAGGCGCGAAAGCGUGGGGAGCAAACAGG
rnacentral:rRNA from 1 species